rnacentral:lncRNA from 1 species
UUUUUAAAAAUUAUAUUUUUUAUUAAUUGCUAAAACAUUUUCUAGGUUAAUAGUACAGGGACUUCUUAGGUUAAUAUUUCUUUUUACUAAAGCUCUUUAUUUUCUUUGUAAUCUCCAUUUUCAAUUGAAGAAAUAGACAUUGGGCAUUCAAUAAUAUCUUGGAUUGAAGUUUUUCUACUUUGAAAUAAAGGAUUUUCUACAUUUUCCUAAGCAUUUCUAAAGCUUUUC